rnacentral:rRNA from 1 species
AGUGAACGCUGGCGGCAGGCCUAACACAUGCAAGUCGAGCGGCAGCGGGUUCCCGCGAGGGGAUGCCGGCGAGCGGCGGACGGGUGAGGAACACAUCGGAAUCUGCCUGGUUGUGGGGGAUAACGUAGGGAAACUUACGCUAAUACCGCAUGAGACCCUGAGUCGACGGACUGGGGGUGAAAGUGAGGGACCUUCGGGCCUCACGCGACCAGAUGAGCCGAUGUCGGAUUAGCUAGUUGGCGGGGUAACGGCCCGCCAAGGCGACGAUCCGUAGCUGGUCUGAGAGGAUGAUCAGCCACACUGGGACUGAGACACGGCCCAGACUCCUACGGGAGGCAGCAGUAAGGAAUAUUGCGCAAUGGGCGAAAGCCUGACGCAGCGACGCCGCGUGGGGGA